CCCCUUAUCCACCGAGAGAGGCUCGCUAGCAACGAAGACUGCUAAUCUCCGUCACCUUGGUUGAACCCCUGGGCUCACUCG
rnacentral:tRNA from 2 species